AGAGUUUGAUCCUGGCUCAGGACGAACGCUGGCGGCGUGCCUAAUACAUGCAAGUCGAGCGGACAGAUAAGGAGCUUGCUCCUUUGACGUUAGCGGCGGACGGGUGAGUAACACGUGGGCAACCUACCCUAUAGUUUGGGAUAACUCCGGGAAACCGGGGCUAAUACCGAAUAAUCUUUUGUCUCUCAUGAGACAAUUCUGAAAGACGGCAUCUCGCUGUCGCUAUAGGAUGGGCCCGCGGCGCAUUAGCUAGUUGGUGAGGUAACGGCUCACCAAGGCAACGAUGCGUAGCCGACCUGAGAGGGUGAUCGGCCACACUGGGACUGAGACACGGCCCAGACUCCUACGGGAGGCAGCAGUAGGGAAUCUUCCACAAUGGGCGAAAGCCUGAUGGAGCAACGCCGCGUGAGUGAAGAAGGAUUUCGGUUCGUAAAACUCUGUUGUAAGGGAAGAACAAGUACAGUAGUAACUGGCUGUACCUUGACGGUACCUUAUUAGAAAGCCACGGCUAACUACGUGCCAGCAGCCGCGGUAAUACGUAGGUGGCAAGCGUUGUCCGGAUUUAUUGGGCGUAAAGGGAACGCAGGCGGUCUUUUAAGUCUGAUGUGAAAGCCUUCGGCUUAACCGGAGAUGUGCAUUGGAAACUAGAAGACUUGAGUGCAGAAGAGGAGAGUGGAACUCCAUGCGUAGCGGUGAAAUGCGUAGAUAUAUGGAAGAACACCAGUGGCGAAAGCGGCUCCCUGGUCUGUAACUGACGCUGAGGUUCGAAAGCGUGGGUAGCGAACAGGAUUAGAUACCCUGGUAGU
rnacentral:rRNA from 1 species